rnacentral:rRNA from 1 species
UACAGAGGUGGCAAGCGUUGUUCGGAAUUACUGGGCGUAAAGGGCGCGUAGGCGGCCAUCUAAGUCAGACGUGAAAUCCCCCGGCUUAACCUGGGAACUGCGUCUGAUACUGGACGGCUCGAGUAUGGGAGAGGGAUGUAGAAUUCCAGGUGUAGCGGUGAAAUGCGUAGAUAUCUGGAGGAAUACCGGUGGCGAAGGCGGCAUCCUGGACCGGCAUUGACGCUGAGGAGCGAAAGCCAGGGGAGCAAACGGG